AUUGAACGCUGGCGGUAUGCUUAACGCAUGCAAGUCGAACGAUGAGAAAGAGCUUGCUCUUUCGAUUAGUGGCGGACGGGUGCGUAACGCGUAGGAAUCUACCUAUUAGUGGGGGACAACUUAGGGAAACUUAAGCUAAUACCGCAUACGCCCUACGGGGGAAAGAAGGGGAUCGCAAGACCUUUUGCUAAUAGAUGAGCCUGCGUAGGAUUAGCUAGUUGGUGGGGUAAAAGCUCACCAAGGCGACGAUCCUUAACUGGUUUGAGAGAAUGAUCAGUCACACUGGAACUGAGACACGGUCCAGACUCCUACGGGAGGCAGCAGUGGGGAAUAUUGGACAAUGGGCGAAAGCCUGAUCCAGCAAUACCGCGUGUGUGAAGAAGGCCUUAGGGUUGUAAAGCACUUUCAAUUGGAAGGAAAACCUCGAAGCUAAUACCUUCGAGUUUGACAUUACCUUUAGAAGAAGCACCGGCUAACUCCGUGCCAGCAGCCGCAGUAAUAC
rnacentral:rRNA from 1 species